AGAGUUUGAUCAUGGCUCAGAUUGAACGCUGGCGGCAGGCCUAACACAUGCAAGUCGAACGGUAACAGGAAGCAGCUUGCUGCUUCGCUGACGAGUGGCGGACGGGUGAGUAAUGUCUGGGAAACUGCCUGAUGGAGGGGGAUAACUACUGGAAACGGUGGCUAAUACCGCAUAACGUCGCAAGACCAAAGAGGGGGACCUUCGGGCCUCUUGCCAUCAGAUGUGCCCAGAUGGGAUUAGCUUGUUGGUGAGGUAACGGCUCACCAAGGCGACGAUCCCUAGCUGGUCUGAGAGGAUGACCAGCCACACUGGAACUGAGACACGGUCCAGACUCCUACGGGAGGCAGCAGUGGGGAAUAUUGCACAAUGGGCGCAAGCCUGAUGCAGCCAUGCCGCGUGUAUGAAGAAGGCCUUCGGGUUGUAAAGUACUUUCAGCGGGGAGGAAGGUGUUGUGGUUAAUAACCGCAGCAAUUGACGUUACCCGCAGAAGAAGCACCGGCUAACUCCGUGCCAGCAGCCGCGGUAAUACGGAGGGUGCAAGCGUUAAUCGGAAUUACUGGGCGUAAAGCGCACGCAGGCGGUCUGUCAAGUCGGAUGUGAAAUCCCCGGGCUCAACCUGGGAACUGCAUUCGAAACUGGCAGGCUUGAGUCUUGUAGAGGGGGGUAGAAUUCCAGGUGUAGCGGUGAAAUGCGUAGAGAUCUGGAGGAAUACCGGUGGCGAAGGCGGCCCCCUGGACAAAGACUGACGCUCAGGUGCGAAAGCGUGGGGAGCAAACAGGAUUAGAUACCCUGGUAGUCCACGCCGUAAACGAUGUCUACUUGGAGGUUGUGCCCUUGAGGCGUGGCUUCCGGAGCUAACGCGUUAAGUAGACCGCCUGGGGAGUACGGCCGCAAGGUUAAAACUCAAAUGAAUUGACGGGGGCCCGCACAAGCGGUGGAGCAUGUGGUUUAAUUCGAUGCAACGCGAAGAACCUUACCUGGUCUUGACAUCCACGGAAGUUUUCAGAGAUGGAAUGUGCCUUCGGGAACCGUGAGACAGGUGCUGCAUGGCUGUCGUCAGCUCGUGUUGUGAAAUGUUGGGUUAAGUCCCGCAACGAGCGCAACCCUUAUCCUUUGUUGCCAGCGGUCCGGCCGGGAACUCAAAGGAGACUGCCAGUGAUAAACUGGAGGAAGGUGGGGAUGACGUCAAGUCAUCAUGGCCCUUACGACCAGGGCUACACACGUGCUACAAUGGCGCAUACAAAGAGAAGCGACCUCGCGAGAGCAAGCGGACCUCAUAAAGUGCGUCGUAGUCCGGAUUGGAGUCUGCAACUCGACUCCAUGAAGUCGGAAUCGCUAGUAAUCGUGGAUCAGAAUGCCACGGUGAAUACGUUCCCGGGCCUUGUACACACCGCCCGUCACACCAUGGGAGUGGGUUGCAAAAGAAGUAGGUAGCUUAACCUUCGGGAGGGCGCUUACCACUUUGUGAUUCAUGACUGGGGUGAAGUCGUAACAAGGUAACCGUAGGGGAACCUGCGGUUG
rnacentral:rRNA from 1 species